ensembl:lncRNA
GUCUGAUUGAGCAAAAGGUCAUCCUUACCUGUUGUUGAACCUUUUCCAUAUGAUUCCUGCUCUGUCUGCUGUAUCAGCAAUUUAAAUGUCUUUGUUAAUUCAAGUUGUACAAAAGCGUGUGAGAGUUAUGAUUAAGAGUGUGAAUGUGAGCUUUGGGGUCAGAUUUCCUGUUUUUAAGGUAGCUAUAUUAAUCGUAGCUGUAUAUCCUCCGCCUGGUUACUUUGCUCCUUGAAUAAUCACUUUCUUGCACUCACUUAUAGGAAUAAGGUUACCUGUUGGCUCAAGGCUGCUAGGAGGAGUGAGUGUGACAGCACACGGAAUGAGGAACAGUCUAUUGCACAAAUCAAGUCAUUGCCAUUGUGAUUGGCAGCAUCACUACUGCUCUGUUAUACAGACUUCCAUGCCACGUGACAGGGCUCAGAGAAGUUUACUUGAACCCUACCAGAUCCUGCAAACAGACUCGUUCUGGAGCAUCACAAGUACCCAGGGCAGAGUUUCUGCCCCAGAGAAAUGCAGGAAAACCAAACUGAUUCUGGGUGGGCAAAGUCAGUGGUCAACAAAGGGGCAAAGUAUAAUGACUGCAUAGAAUGGGAGCACUGCCCAGCCUGAGUCAUCGUGGGAACUUCACGAAGAAGUGACAUGAAGAAGCAAAGCCUCUCAUGAGUCACAAAGGAGUCUGAAACAGCUAGGUGGGGAUCAGCUAUAGGGAGUGAGAAAUGUGAAAUAUGAACAAAUGGCACAACCAGAUAACAUCAAAAACAAGUAUUUUGGUGCUGCUGGGACAUGAAAUCUUAUUGUCUGCUUCCUCCUACACGUGGCCAUGGCCUGGUCCUACGGUGCUGAAACCCUCUAACUCCCUUCAGUAGAAGGCAUCUCUGUCUGUGAAGAUGCUGUGUAUUUUCACCUUAAUUGAUGUCACCACCAACAUGAUUGAAACAGAGGCUGGAAAGCGAGACCGAUGGGUCAGAUACUCCUACUCGAUGGGUUAUUUAACUUCUCUGAGCUUUAGAACCUGUUUUGGAAAAAUGGGUAUAAGUGAAAGUACCCACCUGAAUUACUCAAGUGUGAAGUAGGAAGUAACCACUGAAUUACUAGAGGUAUGAAGUGAGCAUUCUAUAACUAGAGGAGACCGUGUCUUGCCAGUAACAAGCGUUCAAUAAUGAAGCUAUUGGUAUUAUUUAUAUUAAUGAUAAUAAUGUUAACAUUAAUACAGAUUAUUAACAUUAAUACCCUGUUAUUUAGCCAUUCAUUCUAGUGAAGAACCAGGGCCUAGGCAAGAACUCUAUGUCUCAGGCAUUGAUUUUCUGUUUCCCUCACAGCAAUGUGCCAGGGUGCAAAUGCCCCUACCCCUGAAAUCUCUCUUCUUUAUUGAUUUUCCUAAAAACAAAUAUCACAAGUUUUGGGGCACUCCUGGGAUGCUGAAUUUUCCUUAAAGUAAAGCUUUCCCUUGACAAAAAUGUUUUUUUUUAAAGAUUUUAUUUAUUUAUUCAUGACAGACACAGAAAGAGAGAGAGGCAGAGACACAGGCAGAGGGAGAAGCAGGCUCCAUGCAGGGAGCCUGACGUGGGACUCGAUUCUGGGUCUCC